AAUAGAUACCCUGGUAGUCCACGCCGUAAACGAUGGAUGCUAGCUGUUAUGCGUAUCGACCCGUGUAGUAGCGAAGCUAACGCGUUAAGCAUCCCGCCUGGGGAGUACGAACGCAAGUUUAAAACUCAAAGGAAUUGACGGGGACCCGCACAAGCGGUGGAGCGUGUUCUUUAAUUCGAGGCUAAGCGAAGAACCUUACCAGGGCUUGACAUCCUCGGAAUUUCUCCGAAGGGAGAGAGUACUUUAUUGGACCAAGUGACAGGUGCUGCAUGGCCGUCGUCAGCUCGUGUCGUGAGAUGUUUGGUUAAGUCCAUUAACGAGCGCAACCCUUAUGAAUAGUUGUAUUUUUCUAUUCAGACUGCCCCGGUAACGGGGAGAAGGGGGGGAUGAUGUCAGGUCAGUAUUGCCCUUACGCCCUGGGCUAGAAACGCGCUACAAUGGCCGGUACAAUGCGCUGCCAACCCGCGAGGGGAGCAAAUCGCAUCAAAGCCGGUCCCAGUUCGGAUAAGAGGCUGAAACUCGCCUCUUUGAAGCCGGAAUCGCUAGUAAUCGU
rnacentral:rRNA from 1 species